AGUGAACGCUGGCGGUAGGCUUAACACAUGCAAGUCGAACGGCAGCACAGUAAGAGCUUGCUCUUACGGGUGGCGAGUGGCGGGCGGGUGAGGAAUACAUCGGAAUCUACUUUUUCGUGGGGGAUAACGUAGGGAAACUUACGCUAAUACCGCAUACGACCUACGGGUGAAAGCAGGGGAUCUUCGGACCUUGCGCGAUUAAAUGAGCCGAUGUCGGAUUAGCUUGUUGGCGGGGUAAAGGCCCACCAAGGCGACGAUCCGUAGCUGGUCUGAGAGGAUGAUCAGCCACACUGGAACUGAGACACGGUCCAGACUCCUACGGGAGGCAGCAGUGGGGAAUAUUGGACAAUGGGCGCAAGCCUGAUCCAGCCAUACCGCGUGGGUGAAGAAGGCCUUCGGGUUGUAAAGCCCUUUUGUUGGGAAAGAAAAGCAGCAGGUUAAUACCCCGCUGUUCUGACGGUACCCAAAGAAUAAGCACCGGCUAACUUCGUG
rnacentral:rRNA from 1 species